rnacentral:rRNA from 1 species
CGGGGUGCAGCAGGCGCGAAAACUUUACAAUGCGGGAAACCGUGAUAAGGGGACACCGAGUGCCAGCAUCAUAUGCUGGCUGUCCGGGUGUGUAAAAUACACCCGUUAGCAAGGGCCGGGCAAGACCGGUGCCAGCCGCCGCGGUAACACCGGCGGCCCGAGUGGUGAUCGUGAUUAUUGGGUCUAAAGGGUCCGUAGCCGGUUUGGUCAGUCCUCCGGGAAAUCUGAUAGCUCAACUAUUAGGCUUUCGGGGGAUACUGCCAGGCUUGGAACCGGGAGAGGUAAGAGGUACUACAGGGGUAGGAGUGAAAUCUUGUAAUCCCUGUGGGACCACCUGUGGCGAAGGCGUCUUACCAGAACGGGUUCGACGGUGAGGGACGAAAGCUGGGGGCACGAACCGGAUUAGAUACCCGGGUAGUCCCAGCCGUAAACGAUGCUCGCUAGGUGUCAGGCAUGGCGCGACCGUGUCUGGUGCCGCAGGGAAGCCGUGAAGCGAGCCACCUGGGAAGUACGGCCGCAAGGCUGAAACUUAAAGGAAUUGGCGGGGGAGCACAAGGGCGAAUUCGCG